CGCCCACGAGAAGUCCUGCAAGCGCGAGUUGGCUGUACGGGUGUGAGUAGCGGACAGGAGAAGGUUACGGGCAGAGCGUAGGGACCGAGAACGGGCAUACCUAUGGAUCUGUGAAGAGAUAUAAGAGGGGCUAGAAUUGUUCAGUGCUUUAUAUGUAUGGGUUAGCACUUUGAAUUGACUCCUAUAGGAUACAGGAAGCCAAUGUAAGGACUGACAGAGGGGUGAGGUGUGAG